UACAGAGGUCCCAAGCGUUGUUCGGAUUCAUUGGGCGUAAAGGGUGCGUAGGCGGCGCGGUAAGUCGGGUGUGAAAUCUCGGGGCUUAACUCCGAAACUGCAUUCGAUACUGCCGUGCUUGAGGACUGGAGAGGAGACUGGAAUUUACGGUGUAGCGGUGAAAUGCGUAGAUAUCAGGAAGAACACCUAUGGCGAAGGCAGCUCUCUGGGACGGUACUGACGCUGAGACGCGAAAGCGUGGGGAGCGAACAGG
rnacentral:rRNA from 1 species